rnacentral:rRNA from 1 species
AUUGAACGCUGGCGGCAUGCCUUACACAUGCAAGUCGAACGGCAGCACGGGUGCUUGCACCUGGUGGCGAGUGGCGAACGGGUGAGUAAUACAUCGGAACAUGUCCUGUAGUGGGGGAUAGCCCGGCGAAAGCCGGAUUAAUACCGCAUACGAUCUACGGAUGAAAGCGGGGGACCUUCGGGCCUCGCGCUAUAGGGUUGGCCGAUGGCUGAUUAGCUAGUUGGUGGGGUAAAGGCCUACCAAGGCGACGAUCAGUAGCUGGUCUGAGAGGACGACCAGCCACACUGGGACUGAGACACGGCCCAGACUCCUACGGGAGGCAGCAGUGGGGAAUUUUGGACAAUGGGCGAAAGCCUGAUCCAGCAAUGCCGCGUGUGUGAAGAAGGCCUUCGGGUUGUAAAGCACUUUUGUCCGGAAAGAAAUCCUUGGCUCUAGUACAGUCGGGGGAUGACGGUACCGGAAGAAUAAGCACCGGCUAACUACGUG